rnacentral:lncRNA from 1 species
UGCCAGAAAAAACAAAUUUGCAUACCCAUUUUUACUCUGAAAUAACUCACAUAAGCAUUCAACUAAAAAAACGCACAUAUCCAAUCUCUCUUAAACUCUCAUUCCAUCUAACAAAAAAAUUAAUUUGGUAACACACCCUUUCAACCCCCCUUCACUGUUUCUACUAUUCUGCGAUCAAACAAGCUGUGAAAGUAGCCGUUACAGAGUUAACAGCCAG